rnacentral:rRNA from 1 species
UCCCCGGCAACGAGCGCAACCCCUAUUGUUAGUUGCCCAUCAUUCAGUUGGGCACUCUAGCGAGACUGCCCGGUAAUAAACCGGAGGAAGGUGGGGAUGACGUCAAAUCAUCAUGCCCCUUAUGACCUGGGCUACACACGUGCUACAAUGGUUGGUACAACGAGUUGCGAGUCGGUGACGGCGAGCUAAUCUCUUAAAGCCAAUCCUCAGUUCGGAUUGUAGGCUGCAACUCGCCUACAUGAAGUCGGAAUCGCUAGUAAUCGCGGAUCAGCACGCCGCGGUGAAUACGUUCCCGGGCCUU